GAGACCCACUGGGGCACUGCAAGUCAUCCAGGUAUGCCCUCAAAAGUCCGACACCUGGAGUAUCUUUUGCUAUAAGAGUUGAGGGGAGGGCUGGCACACAUGAAUCCAUUUGUCACCCUUUGGGAGGCCUCUCAGGGAGCUUCAGGCCACACGACCUUGCACAUUAUGGGUAGCUUUUGAAGGGACCCACUGAUAUUGAUGAAAUUUAACCUUAUUUAAAAUUUGAAGGUGUAUGUUGUUUUCAGACCACAGUCAGGAAAUAAAAGAGCAAUCACAUAUUUAAAUUGGGUGGUGACUAAAGUACAAGCCACUCUCCAUUGGGAGAAAAGUGGCCUCCAGGACCAUACAGACUUUGAAACUGAGGUAUCUGGAAGAAUGCAAGUACCCGUACUGUGGCCUUCUGAGCCAACAUCCCCUCCCCCAGGGCGCAUUACUGCGCUUCUGGCAAGGAUAUGCCCAGCCUAUUUGCCAGAGACUGCUGUCUCAUCUCUCCAAAGCACCCACUUGCCAGUCUGGAACCUGAAGUUUCAGCAGGCUCAUUUGCAAGCUAAUUUACAUGACUUUACCCUGAUACUUUCAUUUAAUGGUUAGUGGUGCAGAGCACAAACAGCAACUUCAUUGUCAAAGGCUUGUCAUGCCCAGCUGCUUUCUGCCACUUAUGGAUGCUUCCCCAGCCCUGGGCCCAGGCCUGGCCAA
rnacentral:lncRNA from 1 species